rnacentral:rRNA from 1 species
UACGUAGGCAGCAAGCGUUGUUCGGAAUUACUGGGCGUAAAGAGUGUGUAGGCGGUGCUCUAAGUUCGGUGUGAAAUCUCCCGGCUUAACUGGGAGGGUGCGCCGGAAACUGGAAUGCUCGAGCGUGGGAGAGGAAAGCGGAAUUCCUGGUGUAGCGGUGAAAUGCGUAGAUAUCAGGAGGAACACCUGCGGUGUAGACGGCUUUCUGGACCAUUGCUGACGCUGAGACACGAAAGCGUGGGUAGCAAACAGG